UCAGAACGAAGCAGAGGAAAAUACCAAUGAAAAGCUGUCAUUUACAGAUGAGAUCCUAAGCUGUGCGGUCAAAUAAAGAGUUAACAAAGCACAUUUAAACUCGACAGCUUCAGCAAAUCCUUUCUUUCACAUCUAUCUGUAGACUCAACGUGAGAGAAAGCCAUCUGGGUUUUCUUUUUUUUUUUUUCUUCCGCCCCCUAAUUUUACACAGAACAAACACGCCACUUUCCAGUAGGUCAGCCAAUUUCCCCACCGCCAGCGACUGCAUACAGUGUUUGCUUUACCAACAUUAUCGCAGGAAACCAGCAACACCUGCUGUAGAAGGUGUAACGUAGAAAGAGAGAGAGGUUCGCCCUUACCGGUCAGAGAAUGGAUCGGUAAGGACAAACUUACUGAUGUAACAAAGACGUUUGGGAGGUUUAAAGCAUCAUGUGUUUGAUUAUGAAAGACUGACACUUCUGGAGUUUGUUUUUUUUUUCUUUUCUGGUCAGCCACACUUCAGUGCAAGGCAGACAAAAUUAGAAUCCAGACUCACUGUGGCUUAAAGGUAAUGGCUGCUGACGUGAAUGCCACAGCUGCUCGACCGCCACAGUUUUUUUUUUCCGUGUGUGUGCAUCACCUGUUUGCGAAGCUUUGCUCCGUGAAGGGUCACCUUUGCUUGCGUGACUAAAUGUUUUAGCAUGUUCAGUGUUUCUCGAUUUACUGCUGCAGCACUUCCUUCUUUCUAGGAAAACCUCAAUAGAGUAAACACCAUGGCCACUCCCCUCGUCUCCUAUCACCAGGUAUUUCUGGAUCCUCAUUGGCUACCUGCAGGCCCAGCUUGCAACACCUCCCGAGGGUUCAUUGACCUCCACUCCCUCUGUCUCUGUGAAACAACAACGUCGACUUGAAAGAAUCUGCAUAAAGUCAGCUGCAGUGACUAAUCUACGUGGAUAAACACCCACCUGCAUUCUGAGGUAAUGCUUUGCACAGCUUGUCCUGCUUCAUGAAGUCUGCACAUUCAGCACUUGCUGCUCCUCUUUCCGUUCUGUCCUCCAUCAAAAAAAAAAAAAAAAACAAGCCAACGGACUUCUGCUCGAGUGUUUUAGCACAUUUAUGGAAACUUGGAGAGUGGUGUUUUUUAUGCAAACAACAAGGUGAAGCUGUGAGGUGUGAUAUACAGUUCACACUUCAGGCUCCUCGCGGUUCAGCCAGAAGUUAUUUUGUACCAGGAUUCACAUAGAAAUGUGAAACUGGGCCGUUCCCAUAAGGUCUGCGUAUUUACGCGCGCCAUGAGGCGGAGGUGGAGGUUAAACCUACACACCUGCAGCCUUUUUAUGGAAGCGAAAACAGCCUGCAGACAGGGCUAAGUUCAUACAUGACGGGGAAUUCUGAGCUGCGGUAAUAUUUACUGUUAGCUUGGCAACUUUUCAAAGCAUACAUGCAAAACUAGUAAAGCAACAUAGCAGCGACAGCCGGAUUGUAGCGACUCGGCUUGCUCGCCAUUCUGAGAUGUUUGCAGAAAAACAGCUACAAGCUUUAAUACAGCCCCAUAAUUCAUGGAUUCCUUUAAAUGUAUUUAGUUUCGAAGCCAUUUCACUGUAAAGUGCUUUCAUUGACCCAUUUAUGAAUAAUGCCGUGCUAAUAAACGUGCCUCUACUUGCCAGGCCUACAGAUGGUGUUUCGGUUUAAGCUAUUCAGUGCUAUAAUCAUGCUUUUUACAGUGUUAAGCUGUCAUGAAAACAGUCACACUCACAGAUUUAUCCUGCUGGACUUUUACCUGGUUCUGCUGUUCAAGAGGCUGAGCAGAUAUCUACUAUUUUUCUCUGCAAAACAUAACCACGGGAUAAAAAUGUAACUUUUCAUUCUUCGCAUUGUACAUGUGGUGGAAAACCGGCAUUACACAUUACAUAUAGCAAAUCAUUUCCGUGUAACCAUGGUGGUGGCAGCAUCAUGCAGGUAUGCUUUUCCUCAGCAGGGACAGAGGCGAUGGGAAGAUGACGGGAGCUGAAUAUAUCCUGAAAGAAAAGCUACAAAAGACUUGAGACUGAAGUGGCAACAAAAAGCCAGAUGCACAAGAGAAUGAUCGACUCAUAUCGAUGUGUUCAAAGUCUAAACCAAAAUCUCGUUCAGCUUAAAAAUGUCUUUUCACAAACACUCUAUUAAUUUUGACUUAGCUCAAACUACUUUGUGAAUUCACAAAAGUGUAAAAGCUUAAAUGUGCAAAGUCGGUAGAGAUCUACUGCAAACGAAUUGCUGCUGUAACUGUUCUACAAAGUGUUGCCUGAAUGUUAAUGGUGAAUGAACCACAGUUCUUCAUUUUUUCUUACACUUUAGAAUUGUAUACUAUUUUAUCUUGGUCGAUCAUGUAAGCAAACAAUAACAUUCGUUGAAUUUUGUGGCUGUAAUGGGACAGAAUGUGAAAAACUUUAAGCAGAGUAAAAGUUUUUACAUGUGUUUACUCUGUUUAAAUACAUGUAAAAGUAUUUAUUUAUUCAUGUCCACAAAUUAUAGUUGCAUGGACUUUAUGUGGAAGAAAAGAUAAGAUCAUACACAAUCUUUAAUUUUAGUAACAAAAAAGAGGCAAAAAACCUUAAAAAUUAAAUUUUGUCCUUUUAUAUGAAAUAUUCUUUUUUUUCUCUCAAAUUUUUUGAACAGUAUGGAAUUGAUUGAAUCACAAUGAAAAGCCUUAAAAAAAAACCAAAAUGUUUAAAUUAAACAAGCUAUUAUCAGAGGUUUUAUCCAUUUGUACGUCCGAUUCCAGAGGGGUCAGUGCCUCUCCGGUCAUGAACGUCACGCCAACGUCACUGAUCUGUUUGGUAUUCAGACGAUGACACAGAAGUUUAUGGACUGGCGCCCAGGUGAACAUCCGUGUCAUUUCAUUUUAGGGUAACACCGUACCCUAAAAUGAAACAAACACUUUAAGAAUUAGAACAUCAGUUGGUGGAACAAACAACAUAAUGAUCGCAAUCUGUGGGAAGCAGCUACCACUCAUGACUAACCAACUAACAACCCAUUUCUGGACCAAAAGUCAAUCUAUAGCAAUAAAGGUUUUAGUACAACGUAAUUUGAUCAAUUGCUCAUUUUGGCACUGUAGAAAUAUUUACCCCUCUUGUUGUCUUCAGAUUACAUUUGUCACAUUCCUACCUCAGACAUUUUCUAUUAGAAUUUUCUGAAACACCAGAAUAAAUGAAGUAGAAGGACAUCAUGUGUCUUUAUCUACCAAAUACAA